UGGGGAAUUUUGGACAAUGGGCGAAAGCCUGAUCCAGCAAUGCCGCGUGUGUGAAGAAGGCCUUCGGGUUGUAAAGCACUUUUGUCCGGAAAGAAAUCCUUGGCUCUAAUACAGUCGGGGGAUGACGGUACCGGAAGAAUAAGCACCGGCUAACUACGUGCCAGCAGCCGCGGUAAUACGUAGGGUGCAAGCGUUAAUCGGAAUUACUGGGCGUAAAGCGUGCGCAGGCGGUUUGCUAAGACCGAUGUGAAAUCCCCGGGCUCAACCUGGGAACCGCAUUGGUGACUGGCAGGCUAGAGUAUGGCAGAGGGGGGUAGAAUUCCACGUGUAGCAGUGAAAUGCGUAGAGAUGUGGAGGAAUACCGAUGGCGAAGGCAGCCCCCUGGGCCAAUACUGACGCUCAUGCACGAAAGCGUGGGGAGCAAACAGGAUUAGAUACCCUGGUAGUCCACGCCCUAAACGAUGUCAACUAGUUGUUGGGGAUUCAUUUCCUUAGUAACGUAGCUAACGCGCGAAGUUGACCGCCUGGGGAGUAACGGUCGCAAGAUUAAAACUUAAAGGAAUUGACGGGGUCAUAGCU
rnacentral:rRNA from 1 species